rnacentral:lncRNA from 1 species
UCUUUCACACACACCCCCCUCUCCCCUUCACUCAAGGAGUGUAAGUUUCAUCUGAAACAGUGUAACGUUUUUCUGAAACGGUGUAAUUUCAUCAUUUUCUUUUUUUCUCUCUGAUUCUUCAUUUCUUGAAUAAAAUUGACAAUUUUGAAGUAGUUUGAUCAUAAAGUAAACUAUAUUGAAAAAAUAUAAAAUUUCAUUUCUCAAAACUUUAAAUACCCUAUAUCAGUUUUAACGGUGUGGAUCGUUGAUUUGAACACCCUAAAAUCGAAAAUGAGACUAUAGUACCGGAGCUCCGGUACUAUAAAUAGUACAGAAAAUUA